AUACGGAGGAUCCGAGCGUUAUCCGGAUUUAUUGGGUUUAAAGGGUGCGCAGGCGGGAGAUUAAGUCGGCGGUGAAAUUUUGCAGCUCAACUGUAAAAGUGCCUUCGAAACUGGUUUCCUUGAGUGUGGAUGAAGUAGGCGGAAUUUGUGGUGUAGCGGUGAAAUGCAUAGAUUUCACGAGGAACUCCGAUUGCGCAGGCAGCUUACUAAACCAUAACUGACGCUCAGGCACGAAGGCGUGGGGAUCAAACAGGAUUAGGUACCCUGGUAGUCCACGCAGUAAACGAUGAUUACUAGCUGUGUGCGAUACAAUGUAAGCGGCUGAGCGAAAGCGUUAAGUAAUCCACCUGGGGAGUACGUUCGCAAGAAUGAA
rnacentral:rRNA from 1 species